GUCGCUUCCUCUGUCUACAUCCGCUGCACCCAUCCAUUCCCCACCUCCAAAUCCCUAGCCCGGCUGCCGCCAGCUCCGCCCAGCUCUGCUGCCGUCACCGCCACCAACUCUCACCGUCGUUUUCUCCGUUGGCCUCGUGCGACAUGAAGGGGUGGGCAUCUUGAGGCGGGAAGUAGCAGGUUGGCCGCUGUGGGGCAGGGGCAGCUUCGUCGUUGAGCCAUCCUCGCCCGCUCCAUGGGUGUGACCUCGCCGGCGCCGACAAGACGAAGGACGACAAGCCCUGGGCGAAGAUCACAGGUGAGGUGCGGUACAUGGAUGUUGAUUCUUUCAAGGUGCGUGCCGUCCCUCUGCUGAUGCUGUUGUAGGAUUGUUUGAUUGUAGGGUGAUCUUUAGGCUGCCAGGACCAAAACAUUUCAUGCAUUCAAAUCUUGAAGUUGUUGUAUGAUUGUAGGGGACAGAAACAUUGCCUGAAUUUGACUAGAGUAUACUUGUAUCCUCUCCUGAUGCUGUGUUCAAUGGCACUGACAAUAGUGACCAAUGUUGUCAUUUUAUGAACCCAACAUGAAGAGUUUGUUGUGAAGGAUACAAUUAUGGUCGUAGAUUCCUUGUCUGUCAUGUUAAGGGUUAUGAUACAUGUGCUUAUCUGAAGUGGGUGGACAAAGAGCGGCAGGGGAGGCCUAGGCAGGUGAUUGGCAAACUUGCUGAAGAGAAUUUGGCUCUACAAAAAACUGUGUUUGCCAAGGAUGCUAAAAUUAUGAGGCUGAAGGUAGAUAGGAAGGCCAUGAACAUGAAGCAUAAGAAGGAGAUGAAGAGUAGGGAUAGUAGGGAACUUUGGUUAGCUUCUUUGGUCUGCUGCUCUGUAGUGCUGUAUGGUGUUGUAGCUUUGAUGAUAAGAGGUUUUGUGCAAGUUAGGUAAUGUACCAUUUAACAUUAUGUUAGGGGUCAAACUAUCUGUAAUCAGUGGCUACCUAUUAGCUAUAAUGUUGAGUGUUGUAAAC
rnacentral:rRNA from 1 species